UACGUAGGGUCCAAGCGUUGUCCGGAAUUACUGGGCGUAAAGCGUGCGCAGGCGGUUUUGUAAGCCAGGGGUGAAAUCCCCGGGCUCAACCUGGGAAUGGCAUUUGGGACUGCAAGGCUGGAGUGUGGCAGAGGAGACUGGAAUUCCUGGUGUAGCAGUGAAAUGCGUAGAUAUCAGGAGGAAUACCGAUGGCGAAGGCAGGUCUCUGGGCUGACACUGACGCUCAUGCACGAAAGCGUGGGGAGCAAACAGG
rnacentral:rRNA from 1 species